UACGAAGGGGGCUAGCGUUGCUCGGAAUCACUGGGCGUAAAGCGUGCGUAGGUGGUUUGUUAAGUCUGAUGUGAAAGCCCUGGGCUCAACCUGGGAAUUGCAUUGGAUACUGGCAGGCUAGAGUGCGGUAGAGGAUGGCGGAAUUCCCGGUGUAGCAGUGAAAUGCGUAGAGAUCGGGAGGAACAUCUGUGGCGAAGGCGGCCAUCUGGACCAGCACUGACACUGAGGCACGGAAAGCGUGGGGAGCAAACAGG
rnacentral:rRNA from 1 species